rnacentral:lncRNA from 1 species
NNNNNNNNNNNNNNNNNNNNNNNNNNNNNNNGGAGGGAUCCCACGGGAUCGGGAGGGAUCCCAUGGGAUCAGGAGAGAAAACGGGAUUGGGAGGGACCCCACGGGAUUGGGAGGGAAAACGGGAUCGGGAGGGAUCCCACGGGAUCAGGAGGGAAAACGGGAUCGGGAGGGACCCCACGGGAUCAGGAGGGAUCCCAUGGGAUCGAGAGGGAUCCCACGGGAUCGGGAGGGAUCCCAUGGGAUCGGGAGAGAAAACGGGAUUGGGAGGGACCCCACGGGAUCAGGAGGGAAAACGGGAUCGGGAGGGACCCCACGGGAUCAGGAGGGAUCCCAGGGAAUCGGGAGGGAAAACGGGAUCAGGAGGGAUCCCAGGGAAUCGGGAGGGAAAACGGGAUCAGGAGGGAUCCCACGGGAUCCCACAGGACCAGGAGGGAUCCCACGGGAUCGAGAGGGACCCCAUGGUAUCGGGAGGGAAAAUGGGAUCGGGAGGGAAAACGGGACCGAGAGGGAUCCCAGGGGAUCGAGAGGGAUCCCACGGGACCAGGAGGGAAAACGGGAUCGGGAGAGAUCCCGCAGGACCAGGAGGGAUCCCACAGGAUCUCACGGGAUCGGGAGGGAUCCCACAGGAUUGAGAGGGAAAAUGGGAUCGGGAGGGAUUCCACGGGAUCAGGAAGGAUCCCACGGGAUCAGGAAGGAUCCCACGAGAUCGGGAGGGAUCCCACGGGACCAGGAGGGAUCCCACGGGACCAGGAGGAAUCCCAUGGGAUCGGGAGGGAUCCCACGGGAUUGGGACAGAAAACAGGACCAGAAGGGAUCUGAAGGGAUCGGGAGGAAUCCCACGGGAUGGGGAGAGAUCCUGCGGGACCAGGAGGGAUCCGAAGGGAUCGGGAGGAAUCCCAGGGGAUCAGGAGGGAUCCCGGCACAGAUGGGGGAGUUUUUGGGGUGCUCAGCUCCGAAUAAGGCCGGGAUUGGGGCUGGAUCCCAGCAGGGAGCGGAUCCCAGCGGGAAUUUUGGGGUUCCCGGCUCCAAGUGGGGCUGGGAUUGGGGUCGGCUCCACCUGGAGAGGGGCUGGGAGCGGAUCCCAGCGGGAAUUCCAGGAUUCCCACCCCUGGCCGGGCUGGGAUCCAGCCUGGCUCCCAUUCCCUGCGGGAUCCGCUGCAGGAUCCGCUGCGGUUCCUCCCUCAUCCCCACACUCCCGCUAUGCCGGGGCUCAUUAACAUAAUUAAUGG